CCGCUCCCCAGACCAUCAAGGUCAAGUACAAAGGCUCCGAGUACCCCUACCUGCUGCCCAAGUCCCCCCACGUCCCCCCGCAGUUCUCCUUCCUCGUGCCCGGCGCCCAGGUUGCCGACGUCCAGGUGCUGCGCUCCGUGGACCGUUGGUCAGCCGGCCUGCACGAAUGCUCCAUUUACAACGCCUACCUGGACGUCAUAAGGACCAGCCAGCAUUACCUGUAUAUCGAGAACCAGUUCUUCAUCAGCUGCACCGACGGGCGCUCGGUGCUCAACACCGUCGGCGACGCAGUGGUGCAGCGCAUCUUGUUGGCCCACA